rnacentral:sRNA from 1 species
ACAACAGUUAUUAUUAUUGAAAGGGUCCAAAGUCCUGGGGCUCAUAUUGGUCAGGGGUUGACACAGCGUGUAAAAUGGAAAAUGGUAUGAAGUAUUUUAUCUGUUGCAUAAUGAAUAAUAACAUGUCAAAGACAUUUUCUAAGCCUAAACUCUAUGACUAUUUAUAGACGCGUGAAUUACGUUAGACGAUAUUUUGGGACGUAUAAUGAUUGCCUUAAAUUUUUACCUGAUUUGAAGUGAAAAAAAAACAACAACAAAAACCCAUGAGUUGCUAAUGAAGGCCUGUACGGAUUCGAAUCAGCCCUACAUAUUAAUAUCUGCAUUGUGGAAUCUGUAUUAGCAACACAGGCUUAUUUGAAUAUCAUAAGUAAGCUGAUUCGCAUAUGCACACUUUUGUACUAAUAGCGAAGUAUUUGAUAUAAUUGGUUUUAACAUUUAUGAUGAUAAUGAAUAUAUAUAUUCAAAUUUUUAUCAAUUAAAACGGGGCAAGAUUGAAAGUAUCAAAAUAUAUAUUCAGAACCCAACACCAAUCAUUUUUGUAAUCAUUUAAUGCAUGAAUGUUAACAACGUAAUAUUCAUUAAAAAGACACAAAUAACUCCUUUUGGUUUCUUUGUGCGAUUCUAUGUUAUGCUUAUCUAUGUACUAUUCCCAUUGACACUACUUGAAGUAAGUAUCCAUUAAGGAAGACAACCCUGGGGUAGAUUGUUGUUUUGACUACACGUUUUAUUUAAGUUUUUCAUUACAAACGAAGCUUAUCUAUUUUGCACUAAAAAAACUGUUUAUUUGUUUAUUCGUUUACUUGUAGAUAGGAAUGCGCGAGACAACUGAUUUGUCUUACGAUAUACCAACUUAAAUGUAAAUAUUUUAACGCAUAACAAAAAACAAUGCUUACAAAUGAUGAUUAUGUAUAUAUUUUUGUAACGCUGUCUUAUUUUGUGUACAUAAACUAGUUUAAUAAACCCUUCGAUGCCG